rnacentral:lncRNA from 1 species
UUUGCCUGAACCUGGUCAGACUGCUUUUUUUUUUCUUUUAGACGGAGUCUCACUCUGUUGCCCAGGCUGGAGUGCAAAUGGCACCAUCUAGGUUCACUGCAACCUCUGCCUCCCUGGUUCAAGUGAUUCUUCUGUCCCAGCCUCCCAAGUAGCUGGGAUUACAGAUGCCUGCCACCAUGCCCAGGCAAAGGCGUAACAUUUCUGCUUUAAAGUUAGUAAUAUGGGGAAUGUGGAUUCUGCCUUGUCCAGAAUGAUGGCGAUGGAAGAACAAGGUGCUUCUGGAUGGAAUUCCACAACGACCUGGUAGCCACGUUUGGAAAGCACACAUUUUCCAUGGAGGUGACUCCCUGAGCUACACUUUGGCAUGAUGAAUGGAUCUCCAAUGCUCCAGCAGCCUCAUCCGCAACGGCAAAUAUUCAGUGCAUCCUUACAGCUCUUUGCAGAACCUGCCAACAUGUUGACGAAAUAUGUGGUUUAUAAUAAACUCAUUAGCCUUUUUAUCUAAAAUUGAGGCUGGGCACGUUGGUUCACACCUGUCAUCCCAGAACUUUUGGAGGCUGAGGUGAGAGAAUCUCUUGAGCCCAAGAGUUCAAGACUGCAGUGAGCUAAGAUCACGCCAUUGUACUCCAUCCUGGUGACAGAGGGAGGCCCUGUUUCUACAAUACAUUUAAAAUAAAUAAGAAAAAUAAAAUAGAUAAUAUUUUUGUUUUGCAAUUUGGG